UACGUAGGGUGCGAGCGUUGUCCGGAAUUAUUGGGCGUAAAGAGCUCGUAGGCGGUCUGUCGCGUCGAAUGUGAAAACCCGGGGCUCAACUCCGGGCUUGCAUUCGAUACGGGCAGACUAGAGUUCGGUAGGGGAGACUGGAAUUCCUGGUGUAGCGGUGAAAUGCGCAGAUAUCAGGAGGAACACCGGUGGCGAAGGCGGCUCACUGGCCCGAUACUGACGCUGAGGCACGAAAGCGUGGGGAGCAAACAGG
rnacentral:rRNA from 1 species